UUCUAUAUUGCUCAUCAUAGGGAUGGUGCCAAUGGGGAGGCUAGUGGUAGUACCCGGCACUAUUUGACCCAACUAUUCGGUGUAGAGUAUAUUAGGGACGGUACAAGAGGGAGGCUAGUGGUAGUACCUCGUGCCCCUUCCAACUCCACUGGAUAGGGAGCAAAUAGAGUAUAGAGCAUAAGAAAGUAAAAAUGAAAGACAAAGUAAAUGAAAGUAUAUAAGAAGAAUCAAGUCAU
rnacentral:lncRNA from 1 species